rnacentral:rRNA from 1 species
AACGUAGGUGGCGAGCGUUAUCCGGAAUUACUGGGCGUAAAGCGUGUGCAGGCGGGCUAGCAAGUGGUGUAUGAAAGCUCCCGGCUCAACCGGGAAGGGUUAUGCCAGACUGCUAGUCUUGAGUGCGAGAGAGGAGCGUGGAAUUCCUAGUGUAGCGGUGAAAUGCGUAGAGAUUAGGAAGAACACCAGUGGCGAAGGCGACUUACUGGACCGUAACUGACGCUGAGGCAUGAAAGCGUGGGGAGCAAACAGG